rnacentral:rRNA from 1 species
CAAAACAUGGCCUUUUGUGUGGUUGAUAUAUAAGGUCUGGCCUGCCCGCUGUAGGAAUGAAUGGCUGCGGUAUACUUGACUGUACGAAGGUAGCGUAGUAAUUUGCCUAUUAAUUGUUGGCUUGAAUGAAUGGUUUGACAAGAGAUCUACUGUCUCUAUAAUAAUAUAUUGAGAUUUCACUUCCUUAGUGAAGAGGCUAGGAUUUAGCCAAGGGACGAGAAGACCCUGUAGAUUUUUAGUUCUGUUUGGGAAUGAGAAUUGUUAUGUUAGUUUUGUUCUUGAGUAGUAAUUUUUGCUGGGGUGGCUGUUGAAGAUGAGAAUUCUUCAGUUUAAUUUGGUUGGCAUUGUUGAGUGUAAUGAUCCUUUAUUAUGGAUAAUAAGAUUAAAAUACCUCAGGGAUAACAGCGUUAUUUUGCUUGAGAGUUCUUAUUGAUAGUGAAGUUUGCGACCUCGAUGUUGAAUUAAGAAAUUACCUUGGUGUAGAGGCUUUGGUUGGAAGUCUGUUCGACCUUUAAU